rnacentral:lncRNA from 1 species
CCACGAUUCUAUGUGUAUCGAAUUCCGAACAAGCCAUGCAGAACCGCCGAACGAUAUUGUUUAUUGAAACAAUAACACAUUUGCGAAGAAUCGUAAAAUUUCGCAACUAAACGAAGGUGGUUUGAAACAAUCGGCCAAUGUACUGUAUCAUAUUUUUAACGAUUGUUACGCUUACUCCAGUGUACAGUUAUCCGGCAAAUGGUAGUUAUGACGAAUUUAAUACAAACAAGUUGAAACAGAAGGAUAUAGAAUAUGGAGAAAGAUUAUCAAGU